rnacentral:rRNA from 1 species
UACAUGCAGUCGAACGGUACACGAAGAGCUUGGUUUCUGGUGAGAAGAGGGGGGCGGGGGAGUAAUGUGUGGGGAACUGUGGGAGGGGGGGGGAGAUCUACAGUGACGGUGGCUCAUACCCCACAAAGUCUCAGAGCCCAGAGGGGGGCCUUCGGGCCUCUUGCCCUCUCAUGUGCCCAGAUGGGAUUAGCUGGAGAGGGGGGUAACGGCGCUCCUAGGCGACAAUACCUAGCUGGUCUGAGAGAAGGACCACCCACACUGUGACUGAGACACGGUCCCCACACCUACGGGAGGCGUCAGUGGGGAAUAUUGUGCAAUGGGGGCAAGCCUGAGGCACCCCUGCGGCGUGUGUAAGGAAAGCCUUCUGGUUGUGUAGUACUUUCUCCGGGGAGAAAAGUGUUGUGGUUAUUAACCCCUAGUACUGUGAUUUUACCCACAAAAAACGCCGGCGAACUCUCUGUCCCCUCCCCCGCUGGUACGCAGGGUGCGCGCGUUUUAUUGGAGUUUUUGGGGGCGUAACGCACACAGGCGGUCUGUGUAGUCUCAUAUGAAAUCUCCCGGCUCUCCCUGGGAACUCCGUGUUAGACUGGGGUGAUGUAGACUUGUGUAGAGGGGGGUAAUUCUCCGUGUGUAGCUGAGAUAUGUAUAGAGAUCUAGAAAUAUACGUGUGGCAAAGUGGGCCCCCUGUACAAACACAGUGACUCUCGUGUGAGAACGUGGGGAGAGCACAUGAUUAUGAUAUACCGGGACUCUACACCGUAAACGAUGUCUGAUUUGUAGGUUGGUGUCCUUGUGGCGUGUGUUCCUGCAGAUCAUACGUUAUAUCGACCGCCGUGUGGGAGUACAGCGACACGGUUGAAAACUCUCAUGAGGAAUUGACGGGGCGCCCGCACACGUGGGGUAGCAUGUUGUUGUUAAUUCUUAUGAAACGUCGCAGAACCUUACCUGCGUCUUGACAUCAUCCACAAAAUUUUCCAAAAAUGUCUUGGUGACCCUUCGGGGACUGUGAGGACACGUGCUGCAUGGCCGUCGUCAGCUCGUCUUGUGAAAUGUUGGGUUAAGUCCCCCAACGAGCCAAACCCUUAUUCUUUUUUGCCAGCGGUUAGGCCGAGAACUAAGAGAAGACUCCCAGUGAUAAACUAAAAGAAGGUGGGGACGACCUCAAGUCAUCGCGGCCCUUACGACCAGGGCUUCACACGUGCUACAAUGGCGCAUACAAAGAGAAGCGACCUCGCGAGAGCAAGCGGACCUCAUAAAUGCGUCGUAGUCCGGAUUGGAGUCUGCAACUCGACUCCAUGAAGUCGGAAUCGCUAGUAAUCGUGGAUCAGAAUGCCACGGUGAAUACGUUCCCGGGCCUUGUACACACCGCCCGUCACACCAUGGGAGUGGGUUGCAAAAGAAGUAGGUAGCUUAACCUUCGGGAGGGCGCUACCACUU